GAAAAGAUAAUGAGUAGGGCACAAUCCUUCCCUCACAGAACUGCAGUCCAUUGAGGGCCAUAGAUACACAUAGCUACUACCUUGAAGUGAUGGGCUUUACAAGGACCGGAUGAGCAAAGGGCUGUGAAUGUCAGAAGGAAAGAGGCCUCUAAUGCACCUAGAACUGUGUGACUGUUAAAGUAACCCAGAAGCCAGAGGCCAGCCCCGGUCCCCGCAAUGCUGCCAUUGUAGCAGCUGCAGAGCCGCCGUUACACCAUCGUAGCAACAGCUAGAGAGCAAGGUGAAGCCAGGGCCGGCAACCUCAGUGUUGUGGUUAACAGGUGUUGAAGCAAGUAUGAAGAAAAUGUUAAGAUCAAGCCACAGCCGGGUUUUGAGAGAUGAUGGGCAAGUUGAGGAAUUCCUGACACCUUUGGACCUUGAAGCAAUAGAGAUUUGUCCCAGGCCAGGUUAGUGCUCUGCACUGUCCCUUUCUUCCUUUCAAUAGGCUUGCUUCCCCUCAGGUUCCAAGAGCUGAGUUAGUCACACUCUGGUUCAUGGCACUCUGUUGACAUGGGUCUAUGCACAGCCCCUCAUUUAUUUCAUUAUGUUAUAUUUUAAUUUUUAUUUCAUUUUCCCCCUUCAACCAUGAUCCCUACACCCAUUCCUUCCUUCCCACAGAGGCCUCUAGUCUGGUGGAUUUGGCAGAUGUCCUCAGAUAUUUAUGCCUUGUUUAAAGAAGUUCUCUUC